rnacentral:rRNA from 1 species
AUUGAACGCUGGCGGCAUGCCUUACACAUGCAAGUCGAACGGCAGCACGGGGCAACCUGGUGGCGAGUGGCGAACGGGUGAGUAAUGCAUCGGAACGUGCCAUUGAGUGGGGGAUAACGUAGCGAAAGUUGCGCUAAUACCGCAUAUUCUGUGAGCAGGAAAGCAGGGACCGCAAGGCCUUGCGCUCUUUGAGCGGCCGAUGUCAGAUUAGCUAGUUGGUGAGGUAACGGCUUACCAAGGCGACGAUCUGUAGCGGGUCUGAGAGGAUGAUCCGCCACACUGGAACUGAGACACGGUCCAGACUCCUACGGGAGGCAGCAGUGGGGAAUUUUGGACAAUGGGCGCAAGCCUGAUCCAGCCAUGCCGCGUGAGUGAAGAAGGCUUUCGGGUUGUAAAGCUCUUUCGGCCGGGAAGAAAUCGCAUGGGUUAAUACCCUGUGUGGAUGACGGUACCGGAAUAAGAAGCACGGCUAACUACGUGCCAGCA